GAUGAACGCUGGCGGCGUGCCUAAUACAUGCAAGUCGAGCGAACAGACGAGGCGCUUGCUCCUCUGACGUUAGCCGCGGACGGGUGAGUAACACGUGGAUAACCUACCUAUCAGACUGGGAACACUUCGGGAAACCGGCGCUAAUACCGGAUAAUAUAUUGAACCGCAUGGUUCAAUAGUGAAAUUCGGUUUUGCUGUCACUUCUCGCUGGAUCUGAGCCGCAUUGGCUGGUUGGUAAGGUCACGGCUUAUCAAGGCGACGAUGCGUAGCCGACCUGAGGGGGGGAUCGGCGACACUGGAACUGGGACACGCUCCAGAGUACUACGGGAGGCAGCAGUAGGGAAUCUUCCGCAAUGGGCGAAAGCCUGACGGAGCAACGCCGCGUGAGUGAUGAAGGUCCUGGGAGCGUAAAACUCUGUUAUGGGGGAAGAACAAAUGUGUACGUAACUAUGCACGUCUUGACGGUACCUAAUCAGAAAGCCACGGCUAACUACGUG
rnacentral:rRNA from 1 species